GACAGAGGAGCCAAGCGUUGUCCGGAUUGACUGGGCGUAAAGCGCACGCAGGCGGGUGCGCACGUGGGGUGUGAAAACGGCGCGCUUAACGCGCCAUCGCCAUCCCAUACGGCGCGCCUGGAGCCUUGCAGAGGGCGGUGGAAUUGCCGGUGUAGCGGUGAAAUGCGUAGAUAUCUGGAGGAACACCGGUGGCGAAGGCGCCCACCUGGCCUGCUACUGACGCUGAAGCUCGAAAGCUAGGGGAGCAAACGGG
rnacentral:rRNA from 1 species